rnacentral:rRNA from 1 species
GACGAACGCUGGCGGCGUGCUUAACACAUGCAAGUCGAACGGUAAGGCCCUUCGGGGUACACGAGUGGCGAACGGGUGAGUAACACGUGGGUGAUCUGCCCUGCACUUCGGGAUAAGCCUGGGAAACUGGGUCUAAUACCGGAUAGGACCACUGCCUGCAUGGGGGGUGGUGGAAAGCUUUUGCGGUGUGGGAUGGGCCCGCGGCCUAUCAGCGUGUUGGUGGGGUGAUGGCCUACCAAGGCGACGACGGGUAGCCGGCCUGAGAGGGUGACCGGCCACACUGGGACUGAGAUACGGCCCAGACUCCUACGGGAGGCAGCAGUGGGGAAUAUUGCACAAUGGGCGCAAGCCUGAUGCAGCGACGCCGCGUGAGGGAUGACGGCCUUCGGGUUGUAAACCUCUUUCAGUAGGGACGAAGCGCAAGUGACGGUACCUACAGAAGAAGGACCGGCCAACUACGUGCCAGCAGCCGCCGUAA